rnacentral:tRNA from 1 species
UCUUCGGAGGCUGAGCGGUAAAGCGCUUGACUUCCGAACAAGGUUUCCGGGUUCGAGUCCUGUCGAAGAC